CGUCCCAAGAAUUCUUAUUGCGAUAUGCUCCACCCUCGCCUCUAUAAACCACUACCUAGGGGAUCCCCAAGUAGGCUAAGUGAAACCCAAACAAGCUGAGUAAAAUGAGCUCACUUAGAUCAAGCUGAGUCUAAGUUCCAUUGAGUACAGAGUGGAGAAACAACCCCUUCUCUCCUCUUUUUCUUCUUGGCAUACAGACUCACAAUCUCCUUCACUUCACUAUCCCACUCUCUCUCUCUAUUUUCUUCCACUCAAAACCUCCUUUAUUCCACCGAGAUAGAUAGACUUGGGCAUUGGAGAGUCUCCUGUAGCAAAAUCCUCGAUAAAUAGACUUCCUUUAUUUGUGAUAUUUCAGGAUGUUCUUAGAUAUUGGAAUAAAGAUCCAGCCAUUAUCAACCACAUUGAGAACUAUGGUGAGCUUUUAUAGUCCCUGAGUCACUAUCCUUGGCUUUUUAUUAUCGGCUCCAGCUCGUCAGCCUAAGCUAAAUUGAUCUUAGGUGGUAGCAUAAAAGUUGAGUGCUCACCCACAAGUUUGGUGAUAACGGCAUGUAAAGAAGAGAAAUAGAAAUACAUGAUGUACCUCACAAUCUCUCUCUCCUUUUUCUUUUCCUAUCUUGAGGUACAAUAGGACAUUGUUCUUCUUCCUUCCUUGAGGAGUGAUCUUGUAAGAGACUCAUGUUUAAAGAAAAUCUUCUUUUCUAAUCUCACGAUCUUCUCUAGCAGUGCUAGUUCAAAAUCCCUG
rnacentral:lncRNA from 1 species